UGUUUUGGUGUGAGUAUAUGCUUGAAACAUUGAGGACAAUGUUUGAUUUAAGUGUGGGGGGGGUAACCAUUGUUUUGCGUGAAAUUCGUAGAAAUUUAUCACCCAUUACUUCUAGUGUUGUUCCUUGUUGUUUUAAGUAUUUUUAAGCUGUUUUGGAGUGUUUCAGUGUGUUUUGACAUAAAAAUCCAAAAAUUCAUAAAAAUUUGAAAAAUUGUUUUUGAAAAUCCAAAAAAGAGUUGUUUUUGUGCGCUUAUUUGUGUCUUAGGGUACCUUCCAACACAAUGAUAAGGAUUCGGUUUGUAAUUGCAUGACUGUUAAAGAGAGUUAUAAACAUGGAUGAAAGUUUGAUUUACUCUUUAUUUAUGCGUGGUUGUGGUUAUAACUUAUGAAAUCACAUGUGAUCAUAAAAGAAAAAAUUAGUUUUUGUAACAUGCUUGAAGGAAAGAACUCAAACUAACGCUACAACCUUGUGAGACUUGAGCUUAAACGUUUAUUUGGAGAGUUAAAAUCUGUGCAUUCUUGUUUUCUAAAGUCGUUGCAUGAUCUCAUUAUUCUUUGCUUGGUUAUUACUUAGAAGGCGUUUCAUCAUUUAGUUUCAUCAUUUAGUUCCAAAUGCUUGUUGAAAAGAAAAGAAGAGUUGAGAAAAAAAAAAAAAAAAAAAAAAAAAGGAGUUGAAAAAUAUGUGAAAAAGAGUUUUAAAGUGCUACUUGUUGAAGAAAGGGUCCAAAACAUAGAAUUCGGCCCUAAAUAUUGCUUGAAUUUUCCCUUCGUGUCUAAAAGCUGAUUUCUGCAAUCUAAGUGAAUUCUAAGUUUCAAUUUCAUUACUUUACUUGCUAUUGCUUUAAGAACGAUUGUUAUCCUAUCCUUCAUUUGUUAGCCAUCACCCCAAGCCCCGUUAC
rnacentral:lncRNA from 1 species